GACGAACGCUGGCGGCGUGCCUAAUACAUGCAAGUAGAACGCUGAAGGAGGAGCUUGCUUCUCUGGAUGAGUUGCGAACGGGUGAGUAACGCGUAGGUAACCUGCCUGGUAGCGGGGGAUAACUAUUGGAAACGAUAGCUAAUACCGCAUAAUAGUAGAUGUCGCAUGACAUUUGCUUAAAAGGUGCAAUUGCAUCACUACCAGAUGGACCUGCGUUGUAUUAGCUAGUUGGUGAGGUAACGGCUCACCAAGGCAACGAUACAUAGCCGACCUGAGAGGGGGAUCGGCCACACUGGGACUGAGACACGGCCCAGACUCCUACGGGAGGCAGCAGUAGGGAAGCUUCGGCAAUGGACGGAAGUCUGACCGAGCAACGCCGCGGGAGUGAAGAAGGUUUUCGGAUCGUAAAGCUCUGUUGUAAGAGAAGAACGAGUGUGAGAGUGGAAAGUUCACACUGUGACGGUAUCUUACCAGAAAGGGACGGCUAACUACGUG
rnacentral:rRNA from 1 species